ACUCAAAUGAAUUGACGGGGACCUGCACAACCAGUGGAUUAUGUGGUUUAAUUCGAGACAAACCGAAGGACCUUACCCGGGUUUGACAUGCUACCGUUUAGGCACCUAGAAAUAGGAGCUGAUCCGCAAGGAUGGUAGCACAGGUGUUGCAUGGCUGUCGUCAGCUCGUGCCGUGGGGUGUUCCCUUCAGUGGGGUAACGAGCGCAACCCCUGCCAUAAGUUGAAUAUUCUUAUGGGACUAUCUCAAUUUUUUGAGGAGGAAGCGGGGAUGAUGUCAAGUCAGCAUGGCCCUUAUGUCCGGGGCGACACACAUAAUACAAUGGAGCCGACAAUGGGUUGCCAAGCAGUAAUGCGGAGCUAAUCCCAUCAAACGGCUUCUCAGUUGGGAUUGAGGGCUGCAACUCGCCCUCAUGAACGCGGAAUUGGUAGUAAUCGCAAAUCAGCUAAGUUGCGGUGAAUACGUUCUCGGGUCUUGUACACACCGCCCGU
rnacentral:rRNA from 1 species